CAAUCAUAAAAGGUGGCUUUYAGCUACCACUUACAGAUGGACCCGCGGCGCAUUAGCUAGUUGGUGAGGUAACGGCUCACCAAGGCGACGAUGCGUAGCCGACCUGAGAGGGUGAUCGGCCACACUGGGACUGAGACACGGCCCAGACUCCUACGGGAGGCAGCAGUAGGGAAUCUUCCGCAAUGGACGAAAGUCUGACGGAGCAACGCCGCGUGAGUGAUGAAGGUUUUCGGAUCGUAAAACUCUGUUGUUAGGGAAGAACAAGUACCGUUCGAAUAGGGCGG
rnacentral:rRNA from 1 species